rnacentral:rRNA from 1 species
UGAGGAAUAUUGGUCAAUGGACACAAGUCUGAACCAGCCAUGCCGCGUGCAGGAUGACGGCUCUAUGAGUUGUAAACUGCUUUUGUACGAGGGUAAACGCAGAUACGUGUAUCUGUCUGAAAGUAUCGUACGAAUAAGGAUCGGCUAACUCCGUGCCAGCAGCCGCGGUAAUACGGAGGAUUCAAGCGUUAUCCGGAUUUAUUGGGUUUAAAGGGUGCGUAGGCGGUUUGAUAAGUUAGAGGUGAAAUUUCGGGGCUCAACCCUGAACGUGCCUCUAAUACUGUUGAGCUAGAGAGUAGUUGCGGUAGGCGGAAUGUAUGGUGUAGCGGUGAAAUGCUUAGAGAUCAUACAGAACACCGAUUGCGAAGGCAGCUUACCAAACUAUAUCUGACGUUGAGGCACGAAAGCGUGGGGAGCAAACAGGAUUAGAUACCCUGGUAGUCCACGCAGUAAACGAUGAUAACUCGUUGUCGGCGAUACACAGUCGGUGACUAAGCGAAAGCGAUAAGUUAUCCACCUGGGGAGUACGUUCGCAAGAAUGAAACUCAAAGGAAUUGACGGGGGCCCGCACAAGCGGAGGAACAUGUGGUUUAAUUCGAUGAUACGCGAGGAACCUUACCCGGGCUUGAAAGUUAGCGACGAUUCUUGAAAGAGGAUUUCCCUUCGGGGCGCGAAACUAGGUGCUGCAUGGUUGUCGUCAGCUCGUGCCGUGAGGUGUCGGGUUAAGUCCCAUAACGAGCGCAACCCCUACCGUUAGUUGCCAUCAGGUGAAGCUGGGCACUCUGGCGGGACUGCCGGUGUAAGCCGAGAGGAAGGUGGGGAUGACGUCAAAUCAGCACGGCCCUUACGUCCGGGGCUACACACGUGUUACAAUGGUAGGUACAGAGGGCAGCUACCCAGCGAUGGGAUGCGAAUCUCGAAAGCCUAUCUCAGUUCGGAUUGGAGGCUGAAACCCGCCUCCAUGAAGUUGGAUUCGCUAGUAAUCGCGCAUCAGCCAUGGCGCGGUGAAUACGUUCCC